UGUCCCCUAAGAACCUGGACAGUGUCUGAGUUUACAAGAGGAAAAUAUAUAAUGGUUUGUACUCUUACUGCAGUGGAUGGAGACCUAAGCCAUGAGGUGCCUGUACAUGAACGCAAGAAGCCUGGGAAACAAGCAGGAAGAAUUGGAAGUCCUGACACAGUCAAGGAACUAUGAUGUAGUUGGAAUAACAGAGACUUGGAGGAUAACUCACAUGACUGGAGCAUCAUGGAGGGUAUAAAUUGUUCGGGAGGGACAGGCAGGGGAGAAAAGGUGGAGGAGUUGCACUGUUUGUAAAAGAGCAGCAUGAUUGCUCAGAGCUCCAGUAUGAAACUGGAGAAAAGCCUGCUGAGAGUCUCUGGGUUAAGUUUAGAGGCGAGAGCAACACAGGUGAUGUCAUGGUGGGCGUCCACUAUAGGCCACCAGACCAGGAGCAGGAGGUAGACUAGGCUUUCUUCGGACAACUAACAGAAGUUUCCAGAUCACAGGCCCUGGUUCUCAUAGGGGACUUCAAUCACCCUGACAUCUGUUGGGAGAGCAAUAUAGCAGUGCACAGACAAUCCAGAAUAUUUUUGGAGAGUGUUGGGGACAACUUCCUGGUGCAAGUGCUGGAGGAACCAACUAGGGGCUGUGGGCCUCUUGAGCUGCUGCUCACAAACAGGGAAGAAUUGAUAGGGGAAGUAGAAGUGGGUGGCAGCCUGGGCAGCAGUGACCAUGAGUUGGUUGAGUUCAGGAUCCUGAUAAAAGGAAGAAAGGAGAGCAGCAGAAUAGGGACUCUGGACUUCAGAAGUGCAGACUUCGACUCCCUCAGGGACUGACGGGCAAGAUCCCCUGGGAGGCUAAUAGGAGGGGGAAAGGAGUCCAGGAGAGCUGGCUGUAUUUAAAGAAGCCUUACUGAGGGUGCAGGAACAAACUAUCCCGGUGUGCAGAAAGAAUAGCAAAUAUGGCAGGCGACCAGCUUGGCUUAACAGAGAAAUCUUCAGUGAGCUUAAACACAAAAAGGAAGCUUACAAGAGGUGUAAACUUGGACAGAUGACUAGGGAGGAGUAUAAAAAUAUUGCUCAAGCAUCCAGGGGUGUAAUCAGGAAGGCCAAAGCACAACUGGAGUUGCAACUAGCAGGGGAUGUGAAGGGCAACAAGAAGGGUUUCUACAGGUAUGUUAGCAACAAGAAGAAAGUCAGAGAAAGUAUGGGAGCCUUAUUGAAUGGGGGAGAUGACCUUGUGACAGAUGAUGUGGAAAAAGCUGACAUACUCAAUGCAUUUUUGCCUCCGUCUUCACAGACAAGGUCAGCUCCCAGACUGCUGCACUGGGCAGCACAGUAUGGGGAGGAGGCAAGCAGCCCUCAGUGGUGAAAGAACAGGUUAGGGACUAUUUAGAAAAGCUGCACAUGCACAAGUUCAUGGGACCGGAUGCAAUUAAUCUGAGGGUGCUGUGGGUGUUGGCUGAUGUCAUUGCAAAGCCAUUAGCCAUUAUCUUUGAAAAUUCAUGGCAAUCGGGGGAAGUUCUGGACAAUUGUAAAAAGGCAAAUACAGUGUCCAUAUUUUAAAAAGGGAAGAAGGAGAAUCCAGGGAACUACAGACUGGUCAGACUCACCUCAGUCCCUGGAAAAAUCAAGGAGCAGGUCCUCAAGGAAUCCAUUUUGAAGCACUUAGAGGAGAGGAAGAUGAUCAGGAACAGUCAACAUGGAUUCAACAAGGGCAAGUCAUGCCUGACCAAGCUGAUUGCCUUCUAUGAUGAGAUAACUGGCUCUGUGGAUAUGGGGAAAGCCGUGGACAUAAUAUACCUUGACUUUAGCAAAGCUUUUGAUACAGUCUCCCACAGUAUUCUUCCAGCAAGUUAAAGAAGUAUGGAUUUGAUGAAUGGACUAUAAGGUGGAUAGAAAGCUGGCUAGAUCAUUGGGCUCAAUGAGUAUUGAUCAAUAGCUCCAUGUCUAGUUGGCAGCUGGUAUCAAGCGGCAUGCCCCAGGGGUCAGUCCUGGAGCUGGUUUUGUUCAACAUCUUCAUUAAUGAUCUGGAUGAUGGGAUGGACUGUACCCUCAGCAAGUUCACGGAUGACACUAAGCUGUGGGGGGGAGGUAGGUAUGCUGGAGAGUAGGGAUAGGGUCCAGAGUGACCUAGACAAAUUAGAGGAUUGGGCCAAAAGAAAUCAGAUGAGGUUCAACAAGGACAAGUGCAGAGUCCUGCACUUGGGAUGGAAGAAUCUCAGGCACUGCUACAAGCUGGGGACCAACUGGCUAAAAGGCAAUUCUGCGGAUAAGGACCUGGGGGUUACAAUGGAUGAGAAGCUGGAUAUGAGUCAGCAGUGUGCCCUUGUUUCCAGAAAGGCUAACGGCAUAUUGGGUUGCAUUGGUAGGAGCAUUGCCAGCAAAUAGAGGAAAGUGAUUAUUCCCCUCUAUUGGGCACUGGUGAGGCCACAUCUGGAGCAUUGCGUCCAGUUUUGGGGCCCCUCACUACAGAAAGGAUGUGGACAAAUUGGAGAGAGUGUUGGGAUAUGUAAGGGUUAAGUAGAGACCUGGGAAACCACUGGUUUGCUGGUAUGGUAUUAGUGAGUAAAGUCACAGGCAGGCACCAUUUCUUCGCUUGAUAGAUAAGUGUCAUCCGUUGCCCUCCCCUCCAGCUUGUGGGGGAUAGAUAAGCUCGCAGGUGCAUAAAGAGUGUGGGGAUCUAAAAUAUACUUUUUAUGUAAAGCAAUAUUAUUUCUCCCUCCCUUCCUUUCCCAGCUACAUAAAAGAGCCCUUAUUCAUGGCCCCUUCCUCCCUCCCCUGAGAAUUGCUGACCAGGGAGAUGCGUGGCACCAAAUUGUUGCAAAGAAAUGUAUUUUCAAGGUAAAAAUGCCUGUGUGAUCUGCGUAAUGCUGUGCACAAUCAAUAGAGAGUCCAGUGGAGGGCAAUGAAAAUGAUUAAGGGGCUGGAGCACAUGACUUAUGAGGAGAGGCUCCCAGCUAAGGUACGAAACUGGAGGGGCUGAAGGUGCCCUCUCCCCCCCGCCCUCCCUAAAUGGAGCCCUUGGCAUUAACUCUCCAAGUCCUAUAUCUAUUGUAUUUUCUUGCACAGAAAGCUGGCGUUCCUGGGGCUAUAUAAAUCUACACUAGUGUACUGUUGAUGUAUCUGAGCUGUAAUAAAAACACUUGUUUUAUUUCA